rnacentral:rRNA from 1 species
UCUACAGGCUUAACACAUGCAAGUCGAGGGGCAUCAUUUUGUUUUGUUUGUAAACCAGAGGUGGCGACCGGCGCGCGGGUGAGUAACGCGUAUCCCACCGGCCUCAUACUCGGGGAUAGCCUUUCAAAGGAAAGAUUAAUAUGCUAUAACCUAUAUUUCCCGCAUGGGUUUUAUAUUAAAUAAAUUCGGCAUGAGAGGGGGAUGCUUUCCCUUAGUUUGAUGGCGGGGUAGCGGCCCACCAAGACUACCAUGGAUAGGGGUUCUGAAAGGAAGGACCCCCACAUUGGACCUGAUGACACGUGCCAAACUCCUCCGGCAGGCACCGGAGAGGAAUAUGGGUAAUUGUACACAAGUCUGAACCACCCGAUUAGCGUGAAGGAUGACUGCCCAAUGGGUUGCAAACUUCUUUUAUCUGGCAAUAAAGAGGACCACGAGGGGAUUUUUCUAUGAACCAUAGGAAUAAGGAUCGCCUACCUCCGCGCCACCACCCACGGUAAUACGGAGAACCCGAGCGUCAGCCGGAUUUAUGGGCUUAAAAGGGAGCGUAAGCGGAUUGUUAAAUCACUGGUGAAAGUUUGCGGAUCACCCGUAAAAUUGCAUUUGAUACUGGCAGUAUAGAUAGCAGUAAAGCUGGGCGAAAUUCGUGAUGUAUCGAUAAAAUGCUUAAAUACCACGAAGAACUCCGAUUGCUAAGGCAUCUCUCAGGAUGGUAACUGACGCUGAGGCUCGAAAGCGUGAUUAUCAAACAGGAUUAGAUACCGUGGUAGUACACACAGUAAGCGAUGAGAGCUCAGUGUUUGCGAUAUACAGUAAGCGGCCAAGAGAAUGCAUUAAGUAUUUCACUUGGGGAGUACGCCGGUAACGGUGAAAGUCAAAGGAAUUGCACGGGGGGCGGCACAAGCGGAGGAACAUGUGGUUUAAUGAGGUGCUACGCGAGGUACCUUCAUCGGUCUUAAAUUUCAAAUGUAUUAUGGGGAAAUCCAUACGGAGCAAGGCAUUGGUGAAGGUGUUUCAUGGUUGUCGUCAGCUCGUAGCCGUGAGGAGUUGGCUUAAGUGACCAUCACGAGCGCUAUCCUUAUGCUUCAGUUAAUAGCAGGUCUAUUCUGAGGAGUCUGGCGAGGAUGCCGUGGUAAGAGGUGAGGAAGGUGGGGAAGACUUCAAAUCAGCACGGCCCGGACGUCCGGGGUUACACAAGUGUUUCAACGGGGGGUACAGAAGGCCGGUGGGGGGUGACAUGUUGCCAAUCCCAAAACCCUUUGUCAGUUAGUAUGGAAGUCUGCAACCCGAAUUCGGGAAGCUGGAUUCUCUAGUAUUAGCGCAUCAGGCAGGGCGCGGUGAAUGCUUUCCCGGGCCUUGUACGCCCCGCCAGUCAAGUCAGGAAAGCCGGGGGUCCGUGAAGCACGUAAAAGCAAGGAGCGUCCUAGGGUAAAACUGGUA